GUGUCAGCAGCCGCGGUAAUACGAAGGGGGCUAGCGUUGUUCGGAAUCACUGGGCGUAAAGCGCGUGUAGGCGGACUGUUAAGUCGGGGGUGAAAUCCCGAGGCUCAACCUCGGAAUUGCCUUCGAUACUGGCAGUCUUUGAGUCCGGGAGAGGUGAGUGGAACUCCUAGUGUAGAGGUGAAAUUCGUAGAUAUUAGGAAGAACACCAGUGGCGAAGGCGGCUCACUGGCCCGGUACUGACGCUGUGACGCGAAAGCGUGGGGAGCAAACAGGAUUAGAAACCCCCGUAGUCC
rnacentral:rRNA from 1 species